rnacentral:rRNA from 1 species
UACGAAGGGUGCAAACGUUGCUCGGAAUCAUUGGGCGUAAAGCGCACGUAGGCGGCUUGCCAAGUCGGACGUUAAAUCCCUCAGCUCAACUGAGGACGUGCAUCCGAAACUGGCGAGCUUGAGUACUGAAGAGGAUCGCGGAAUUCCCGGUGUAGAGGUGAAAUUCGUAGAUAUCGGGAGGAACACCAGUGGCGAAGGCGGCGAUCUGGGCAGAUACUGACGCUGAGGUGCGAAAGCGUGGGGAGCAAACAGG